UUGUAUCCACUGAUAGACCUGGAACAAUUAACUGUUCUUUUGGUUUGCACUAGGAUGCCAAAGAAAAAAUCCCUGUACUGUCUGUCUUUGUGGCAGCCCAGAUUGAAUUGGGGAAUACAUUU
ensembl:snoRNA